rnacentral:rRNA from 1 species
UUGAACGCUGGCGGCAGGCCUCACACAUGCAAGUCGAGCGGAUGAAGGGAGCUUGCUCCUGGAUUCAGCGGCGGACGGGUGAGUAAUGCCUAGGAAUCUGCCUGGUAGUGGGGGAUAACGUCCGGAAACGGGCGCUAAUACCGCAUACGUCCUGAGGGAGAAAGUGGGGGAUCUUCGGACCUCACGCUAUCAGAUGAGCCUAGGUCGGAUUAGCUAGUUGGUGGGGUAAAGGCCUACCAAGGCGACGAUCCGUAACUGGUCUGAGAGGAUGAUCAGUCACACUGGAACUGAGACACGGUCCAGGCUCCUACGGGAGGCAGCAGUGGGGAAUAUUGGACAAUGGGCGAAAGCCUGAUCCAGCCAUGCCGCGUGUGUGAAGAAGGUCUUCGGAUUGUAAAGCACUUUAAGUUGGGAGGAAGGGCAGUAAGUUAAUACCUUGCUGUUUUGACGUUACCAACAGAAUAAGCACCGGCUAACUUCGUG